AUAUACUCAAAAUUCUCAAGGGCUGCUGCAAAGACGAAGUCCGCCCAUGUCGUCUGAAAAAAGGUUUGUAUACAUUUAUUUUGUACUUCCUCUAUUAAACAAUUUUUUUAAUUUACCUUGAAAAAUGUGAAAAAUCGAACUCUUAACUAAAGAUCACUAGCUUUUUAGGAAGAAUUUGGAUUUUUAUUUUAUUGUCAGAAUUUAAUGGAUAAUUUUAGAAACUUCAACCUUUGGAGGUAUUUGUUAAUUAAAAAUGACAAAACUGGUAUUAUGUAAAAAAGAGUAAUGUGUAUCCUGAAUCAAUGUCGAAUGGAAAUUAGACAGUUCUAUAAAAAUAAUCCUUCUCACGAUUCCACAACUUCAUAGCUUAAUUAAAUACAAUUCUUCGGCGAUAUAAUUACAAAUACAUUUACAGGAAUUGUGUAAUAUGAUAAAUAUCUCGUUAAAGAAAUUGAAAUCGUAAACUCUAGAUUCUAGUAUUCUUUCACUUUCAUGUUUCCUAUGAGCCCUUCAAUCGCUAAAUAUUUUGCAAUGAAACACGUAUUAUUAAACAACAUAAUCAUACUAAAUUAAUUUAAUGUGACUAUUUAUUAUUAUUAUAUAAUAACACAGUGAUGAAAGAAAUAAACUGGUCAAGUAAUCUAAGGAACGAUAAUACGUAUCUAUGUCAGUGACAGUGAGAAAAAUUCAGAUAUCUGUACUUAAGUGAUUACACUUAUAAGUAUCAUUAUAUAUUAUAUAAAUAUGAUAUUUCGAAUGGUAUCAUUUAUCACUCAUUAAACAAGAGUGUCAUAUCCAGAGAAAUGAUUUUACAUAUCUUAAUCUUUGCUUUGAUUACGAUAGUAAUAAUUUCUAUCAAACUUGAUGAGGAAGAUACAUGAAUAAUUAUCUAAAAGCUGAAAAUCUUGGCAAAUUCAUUUGUACAUAAACUAACAGGAGUGAAUUUUAAAGAUACACUCUGCUCUCAACAAUUAAAGCUGUCUUGUCGCAACAAAGUUUCAAUAAUUUUUUAUGGACAACAUGGCCCAGUUUGCACAAAGACUAAAAAUUUUAACAUUAAAUUUGGCUAAAAAAUCUUACGGUAGAAGGAAUGAUAUAUCCUUCAUUUUCGCCAAUAAUCUGGUCGAAUUUAGUCAAGUAAAAUGGUAUUGUUUCGUUCAAAAGUUGAUUCUUCCUCGCUUCCUUCUUUUCAGGAUCCUCCUCCAUGCGAUAGUAGCAGAUAUCUGAAACGUAUAUGAAACCAACCGUUACGUUCAUUUGUGUUUUUCCCCCCAAACGAAGAGAAAAUAAGUUGUGAAAGAAGGAGUAGCCUCUCAUAGUUCCUACAAUUUCUUCAUUCUCUUUGCUUUCUUCAAUAUUGUCUCAACAAGUUCCUGUGGUUCACGAUACUUAAAAUAUAUACAAUGUUACCAGCGUGGAAAUUGUCUUGGAAACUUGGAAAAUCUUUCAAGAGGAACAACAUUGCUAACUGAGAUUCGAGAAAGGAAAGUUGACAGAGCAAGGAAAAUGAGCGACGAACAUACCUACAAACUAAUCUACUUCAAUACCCGUGGUCGUGCCGAACAUAUACGGUACAUAUUUGCAUAUACUGGCAUCGAGUAUACCGACGAGAGGAUCCCCGAAGAACUCUGGCCUGAAUACAAGGAUUCAAUGCCUUAUAAAAAGCUGCCUGUGCUGGAGGUAGACGGGAAACCGGUAGCGCAGGGUAACGCUGUGGCGCCUUACUUGGCGAGGAAGUACGAUCUAAUGGGAAACUGCAAAGGGGAUGCGCUGAUAUGCGAAGUGCUCGUCGAUACUCUUGAAGAUUUGGAGCAAGGUGAGUAACUGAUGAGAUGACUUUGCAUUUGUCUCACCACAGAGACAGACGUUCAAGAAUUCAUUGUGAAAAGACGAGUACAAACAAGAUACGUAUGUCUUUCCGUUAAGCGAAUGUUACAGUUUGUUUGCAAAAGUCAGUUUUUAGAUUAUAGAAUCGUAGAUAGAAUUUAGAGGAUAGAAACUUUUAGUAGUCACUUUUAGUUUAGUAAAGUCUUAUCGACAAUAAGCAGACUACGUUAUGAUACAACGAUUCCAACUGAAGAUUUCUAUCGACAUCACGAAUUCGAUGGCUUCCAAAUUUUCUUCUCUGCAAUCUCAGACGCUCAUCUCGAAAGAAUCUUUUAGAUCCCCCGACAAACACUCGACUCAGGUUAUCUAUUAUCGUAAUCUUCUUACGGGAUUUUUUUUAACUGCGUUGCGUUAACGAAUAACGGGAUAACAUCACGUUUCUCUCAACGCCUUUCAACGUUCUACAACUUUUAUUCUUUGCAAAUCCCAGUCUCUAUAUGAUAAACGCUGGUUAUCCGCGGAAUUUACGAUUUCAAUUUCUUUAACGAGAUAUUUAUCAUAUUACACAAUUCCUGUAAAUGUAUUUGUAAUUAUAUCGCCGAAGAAUUGUAUUUAAUUAAGCUAUGAAGUUGUGGAAUCGUGAGAAGGAUUAUUUUUAUAGAACUGUCUAAUUUCCAUUCGACAUUGAUUCAGGAUACACAUUACUCUUUUUUACAUAAUACCAGUUUUGUCAUUUUUAAUUAACAAAUACCUCCAAAGGUUGAAGUUUCUAAAAUUAUCCAUUAAAUUCUGACAAUAAAAUAAAAAUCCAAAUUCUUCCUAAAAAGCUAGUGAUCUUUAGUUAAGAGUUCGAUUUUUCACAUUUUUGAAGGUAAAUUAAAAAAAUUGUUUAAUAGAGGAGGUACAAAAUAAAUGUAUACAAACCUUUUUUCAGACGACAUGGGCGGACUUCGUCUUUGCAGCGGCCCUUGAAAAUUUUGAGUAUAUAUUUGGGGCAGCUGCUUUCGACCAAUAUCCAGCUCUUCAAACAUUGAAGAAUAGGAUUCAUAGAAUACCGGCCAUUUCUGAUUGGCUGAUUAGGCGCCCA